rnacentral:rRNA from 1 species
GUUGGCUUAGAAGCAGCCACUCAUUUAAAGAGUGCGUAAUAGCUCACUAGUCGAGAGAUCCUGCGCCGAAAAUGUACCGGGGCUAAACUUACCACCGAAGCUACGGAUUUGCAAGUAAUUGCAAGUGGUAGGGGAGCGUCGUAAUCGGGCUGAAGUCGUACCGGAAGGAGCGGUGGACUGAUUACGAGUGAGAAUGUUGGCAUUAGUAGCGAGAUGUAGGUGAGAAUCCUACAGGCCGAAUAUCUAAGGUUUCCUCAGGAAGGCUCGUCCGCUGAGGGUUAGUCGGGACCUAAGCCGAGGCCGAAAGGCGUAGGCGAUGGACAAUCGGUUGAUAUUCCGAUACCACUACCAUCGUUAUUAUCGAGGGUGUGACGGAGAAGGAUAGUGUGUGCUAGCGAUUGGAAAUGCUAGUCUAAGCGUUUAGGGAGUUACGGUAGGCAAAUCCGCUGUAACAAUUCUGAGGCGUGAUGGGGAAGGUCAUUAAGACCGAAGUACAUGAUUCCAUGCUUCCAAGAAAAGCAUCUAGAGAGAGAAGUAGUGCCCGUACCGCAAACCGACACAGGUAGAUGAGGAGAGAAUCCUAAGGCCGGCGGAAGAAUUGCAGUUAAGGAACUAGGCAAAUUGACCCCGUAAGUUCGCGAGAAGGGGUGCCUGCGAGAGCAGGCCGCAGAGAAUAGGCCCAAGCAACUGUUUAGCAAAAACACAGGUCUCUGCUAAAGCGUAAGCUGAUGUAUAGGGGCUGACGCCUGCCCGGUGCUGGAAGGUUAAGGGGAACACUUAGCGCAAGCGAAGGUGUGAACUUAAGCCCCAGUAAACGGCGGCCGUAACUAUAACGGUCCUAAGGUAGCGAAAUUCCUUGUCAGGUAAGUUCUGACCCGCACGAAUGGCGUAAUGACUUGGGCACUGUCUCAACUGCAAAUCCGGCGAAGUUGUAGUGCGAGUGAAGAUGCUCGCUACCCGCGAUUGGACGGAAAGACCCCGUAGAGCUUUACUGUAGCUUAGCAUUGAAUUCCGGUAUUGUCUGUACAGGAUAGGUGGGAGACUGGGAAACUAGGGCGUCAGCCUUAGUGGAGUCAACCUUGGGAUACCACCCUGACAGUACUGGGGUUCUAACAGGACGCCAUGAAGCUGGUGACUGGACAUUGUUAGGUGGGCAGUUUGACUGGGGCGGUCGCCUCCUAAAAAGUAACGGAGGCGCCCAAAGGUUCCCUCAGAACGGUCGGAAAUCGUUCGUAGAGUGCAAAGGCAGAAGGGAGCCUGACUGCGAGACCCACAAGUCGAGCAGGGACGAAAGUCGGGCUUAGUGAUCCGGUGGUACCUCGUGGGAGGGCCAUCGCUCAACGGAUAAAAGCUACCUCGGGGAUAACAGGCUGAUCUCCCCCAAGAGUCCACAUCGACGGGGAGGUUUGGCACCUCGAUGUCGGCUCGUCGCAUCCUGGGGCUGUAGUAGGUCCCAAGGGUUGGGCUGUUCGCCCAUUAAAGCGGCACGCGAGCUGGGUUCAGAACGUCGUGAGACAGUUCGGUCCCUAUCCGUCGCGGGCGUAGGAAAUUUGAGAGGAGCUGUCCUUAGUACGAGAGGACCGGGAUGGACUGACCUCUGGUGCACCAGUUGUUCUGCCAAGAGCAUGGCUGGGUAGCUAAGUCGGGAAGGGAUAAACGCUGAAAGCAUCUAAGCGUGAAGCCCCCCUCAAGAUGAGAUUUCCCAUAGCAUAAGCUAGUAAGACCCCUUGAAGAACACAAGGUUGAUAGGUCAGAGGUGGAAGUGCGGUAACGUAUGUAGCUGACUGAUACUAAUAGGUCGAGGGCUUGACCAA